GUCCACGCCCUAAACGAUGUCGACUGGUUGUUGGGGUUUGACACUCUCAGUAACGAAGCUAACGCGUGAAGUCGACCGCCUGGGGAGUACGGCCGCAAGGUUAAAACUCAAAGGAAUUGACGGGGACCCGCACAAGCGGUGGAUUAUGUGGAUUAAUUCGAUGCAACGCGAAAAACCUUACCUACCCUUGACAUGUCCGAGAGCCUGAAGAGAUUCAGGUGUGCCCGAAAGGGAAUCGGAACACAGGUGCUGCAUGGCUGUCGU
rnacentral:rRNA from 1 species